rnacentral:snRNA from 2 species
GUGCUCGCUUUAGCAGCACUUAUACUAAAAUUGGAACUAUAUAGAGACCAGCUUGGUCCCUGCGCAAGGACAAUGAGUAAAAGAUCCCCAAGUGAUU